rnacentral:lncRNA from 1 species
GGGGGGGAGAAAGGAGAGAGAAGAGGAAAUAGCUUAGCCCAAGUCAGCUGGUGGAGUAUUCUGCUCAAUGUGAAGGGGGGCGGCUUUCCAGUUGGCAAGCUGACUUCCUUAAUUGCGCAUUCAGUCUCUACUUAGGGUAAUUGAAACGAAGCGGGGCUCGGCUCUGACAAUUAGGGUCUGCGACUAGGCCAUUAACCCUUUCUGCAACAGCCCCCUCCCCGGAUCGAUGCCUCGCACCUUUCCAAGGUGGGGAAGGGUUGCGGGGACGCCCCGCUAGGGCUCACCAGAGGACGACGGGCCCCAAACCGAGGCGCGUGUACUCAGUGCCAGCAGGUCUAACCCGGCCCCGCGGGCCCUGGAGCCUGGUUAGGACCGGGCCGGGAACGGGGGAGUCGCGCGAGGCGUGGGGGUGGUGGUGGUAGAGGGGUUUGCGGCCUCACCGCCCCUCUGCAACAGAUGUUUCAUCCGUGUAAGACAAAGGGAGAGCGCCUGCCGGUGCCGGGAGAAAAUCCGCAGGACUCCCUCAGGGGCAGCCACCCUCGGAAGUCAGCCGAGUGAAGCAGCUGUUCCUUGCACACUCCACUUGACCAAAGAUGAUGAUAAAUGAGGCCGGGACCGCGUCGGCAAAGGGCGCGCAAGGGCGGGGCGUACGGCCCGUAGGUCCCUCCCCAUACCUCCGGCCCGGCGAGAACGCAGAGGACAGAGGCCGAGUGGGCAAAAUCAAAGGCCUGCGCUUCCCUCCCGCGCCCUGCGCAGCCUCAGCACUCGGCGGCGAGGAAGAAGGCAGCAGAGAGGUGCGCCCCGACCGCUGGGCUCAUGAUUGAGCCCUUUUCCUCUGGGCCCCUGCUGCAGCUCCACCCUCGCCCCUGCCCUUCCCCCUCGCGCCCCACUCUCCCCUAAUGCCUUGGUCCCCACCGUGCUUCAAACCUAUUAACGCUCGUAAAUAAUGAAUAAUGGAGCGUUUCCCUCCAGUCGCGCAAGGCUGCGGGCGGGGGGGGGGCGCUGGCAGAUGCGCCCGGUCCAGGGGAGGGGGCGCCCACCGGCCGGGUGCAGAGGG